UCUAAUAUGGCAGAAUAGUGCCAUGGAUUUAAGCUUCAUAUAUAAAGAAUUAACCUUUUAUUAGAA
rnacentral:tRNA from 1 species